UACGGAGGGUGCAAGCGUUGUCCGGAAUUAUUGGGCGUAAAGCGCACGUAGGCGGUUCUUUAAGUCUCAUGGUGAAAGGCUGGGGCUCAACCCCAAGCAAGCCGGGGAUACUGGAGGACUGGAGACAGGCAGAGGCCAGCGGAAUUCCGGGUGUAGCGGUGGAAUGCGUAGAGAUCCGGAAGAACACCGGAGGCGAAGGCGGCUGGCUGGGCCUGAUCUGACGCUGAGGUGCGAAAGCGUGGGGAGCGAACAGG
rnacentral:rRNA from 1 species